UGAGGAAUAUUGGUCAAUGGUCUGACGACUGAACCAGCCAUGCCGCGUGAAGGAAACGGCCCUAUGGGUCUUAAACUUCUUUUGUAAGGGAGCAAUAAGGUCUACGUGUAGACUGAUGAGAGUACCUUACGAAUAAGCAUCGGCUAACUCCGUGCCAGCAGCCGCGGUAAUACGGGGGAUGCAAGCGUUAUCCGGAUUUAUUGGGUUUAAAGGGUGCGUAGGCGGCUUAUUAAGUCAGCGGUGAAAUUUAGGGGCUCAACCUCUACCGUGCCGUUGAUACUGGUGAGCUGGAAUGCGGAUGCCGUGGGAGGAAUGUGUGGUGUAGCGGUGAAAUGCAUAGAUAUCACACAGAACACCGAUUGCGAAGGCAUCUCACGAAUCCGCAAUUGACGCUGAUGCACGAAAGCGUGGGGAUCAAACAGG
rnacentral:rRNA from 2 species